rnacentral:rRNA from 1 species
ACGUACGAGGCGAGCGUUAUCCGGAAUUACUGGGCGUAAAGCGCGCGCAGGUGGCGCCGUAAGUUGGGCGUGAAAUCUCCCGGCCUAACUGGGAGGGGUCGCCCAAGACUGCGGGGCUUGAGGCUGGCAGAGGUAGGUGGAAUUCCUGGUGUAGUGGUGAAAUGCGUAGAGAUCAGGAGGAACACCGGUGGCGAAGGCGGCCUACUGGGCCAGCACUGACGCUGAGGCGCGAAAGCUCGGGGAGCGAACGGGA